rnacentral:lncRNA from 1 species
UGCAAACUGACACUGGUUGUGUACUGGGGAUGGAGUUGGACCGUAGUGACAAUGCUCAUACUUUGAAGAGGAGGUUGCAGAUUGCCCUCAAUGUUCCAACUGAGGAGAGUUCUUUGACAUUUGGUGAUGUGGUGUUGAAGAACGACCUUAGUUCUGUUCGGAAUGAUUCUCCUCUACUGCUGACGAGGAAGUGAAGAGGAGGUUGCAGAUCGCCCUCAAUGUUCCAACUGAGGAGAGUUCUUUGACAUUUGGUGAUGUGGUGUUGAAAAACGACCUUAGUUCUGUUCGGAAUGAUUCUCCUCUGCUGCUGACGAGGAAUUUUAUGCAUAGAAGUUCAUCGACUCCGUGUCUUUCACCUACUGGGAGGGAUGUCCAACAGAGAGAUCAGAGUGGCCCUAUUGAAAUACUGGGG